ACAAGGAAGCGAUGGCCGGUGAAGAGCACUAGCAGCAAAGGGCGCACAGAGAUUUUGUGGGUAAGAAAGACCGCUGCACAAAUGAUUUGCUGGGAGAUGAACAUAGCGUCCAUGCGAAUGCCUUUCUACUCCUUGAAAGUGCUUGAAAAUAUCCAGCAUCCCACUAUCUUAUAUAAGUGACAUUGCCAAACUGAGGAAUUAAUGUUAUUCAUAGGUAUAAUCCAUGAAAAGUAUCAAAAGUAGUCAUUUACUUGAUUAUAUUCAUCUUAUUGUUAGUUAUUGUUAGCUACUGCUUCCUUUCUUGUACAAAUGCUAUUUGGCUUUGAAACAUUGUUUUGGUUCUCAUUUUGCUCUGUGUCAGCAUUUUUCCUAGAAGAUGCGUCUUCUCUUCCAACAUUGAGGAACUAGAAGGAAUGUAUGGCACAAUCACGUCUUUAUAUUCAUUUCUAUUGUCACUAGCAUUUUCAUUUCCAUUUAAAUUAUUUUGGCUAGCAUCAUUCCUAUUUUCUGAGUUUGAGGAUUUUUCUUUGUUUUGUUUUGAUAGAGGGUCAGAGGAAUGGACUUGACCUUGAUUGGCAUCUAUGCCUUUAUUAACACUUCCAUCACUUGGUUU